rnacentral:miRNA from 1 species
UAGCAGCACAUCAAUACUGGCA